UACGGAGGGUGCAAGCGUUAUCCGGAUUCACUGGGUUUAAAGGGUGCGUAGGCGGGCAGGUAAGUCAGAGGUGAAAUCUCCGGGCUUAACCCGGAAACUGCCUUUGAUACUAUCUGUCUUGAAUAUGGUGGAGGUAAGCGGAAUAUGUCAUGUAGCGGUGAAAUGCUUAGAUAUGACAUAGAACACCCAUUGCGAAGGCAGCUUACUGCGCCUAUAUUGACGCUGAGGCACGAAAGCGUGGGGAUCAAACAGG
rnacentral:rRNA from 1 species